rnacentral:rRNA from 1 species
AUGCCAGACUCCUACGGGAGGCAGCAGUGGGGAGUAUUGCACAAUGGGGGAAACCCUGAUGCAGCGACGCCGCGUGAGCGAUGAAGUAUUUCGGUAUGUAAAGCUCUAUCAGCAGGGAAGAAAAUGACGGUACCUGACUAAGAAGCCCUGGCUAACUACGUGCCAGCAGCCGCGGUAAUACGUAGGGGGCAAGCGUUAUCCGGAUUUACUGGGUGUAAAGGGGGCGUAGACGGUCCUGCAAGCCAGAUGUGAAAGCCCGGGGCUCAACCCCGGGACUGCAUUUGGAACUGUAAGGCUAGAGUGUCGGAGAGGCAGGCGGAAUUCCGUGUGUAGCGGUGAAAUGCGUAGAUAUACGGAGGAACGCCAGUGGCGAAGGCGGCCUGCUGGACAAUAACUGACGCUGAGGCGCGAAAGCGUGGGGAGCACACAGGAUUAGAUACCCGUGUAA